rnacentral:rRNA from 1 species
UACGUAGGGCGCAAGCGUUGUCCGGAAUUAUUGGGCGUAAAGAGCUCGUAGGCGGUCUGUUGCGUCCGCUGUGAAAACUCGGGGCUUAACCCCGAGCCUGCAGUGGAUACGGGCAGACUAGAGGUAGGUAGGGGAGAAUGGAAUUCCCGGUGUAGCGGUGAAAUGCGCAGAUAUCGGGAGGAACACCGGUGGCGAAGGCGGCAUCCUGGACCAACACUGACACUGAGGAGCGAAAGCCAGGGAGCAAACGGG